GACAGAGGGUGCAAACGUUGUUCGGAAUUACUGGGCGUAAAGCGCGUGUAGGCGGCUUUGCAAGUCGGGUGUGAAAUCCCACGGCUCAACCGUGGAAGUGCACUCGAAACUGCAAGGCUAGAGUCCUGGAGAGGAAGGUGGAAUGCUUGGUGUAGAGGUGAAAUUCGUAGAUAUCAAGCGGAACACCGGUGGCGAAGGCGGCCUUCUGGACAGUGACUGACGCUGAGACGCGAAAGCGUGGGGAGCAAACAGG
rnacentral:rRNA from 1 species